UUAAGCUACUAAGGGUGUACGGUGAAUGCCCUGGCAUCAGCAGGCGAUGAAGGACGUAGCUAGCUGCGAUAAGCCUCGGGAAGCCGCAAGCAGGCCGUGAUCCGAGGAUGUCCGAAUGGGGAAACCCAGGCGAUGAAUGCCGCCUAUCCGCUUCUGAAUUCAUAGGAAGCGAGAAGCCCACGCAGGGAAGUGAAACAUCUCAGUACCUGCAGGAACAGAAAUCAAGUAGAGAUUCCCCCAGUAGUGGCGAGCGAAAAGGGAACAGCCCAAACCAUAGUGAUGUCAAGCCCGUGUGCGUUGUCGCUAUGGUGUUGUAGGUCUUUGUCGGACGGCGAUACGGCGCCGUCGGCAAGUCAAAAACUAGGAUCUUAGCAGAACGGUCUGGAAAGGCCGGCCAAAGAAGGUGACAGCCCUGUAGGCGACAAGACCCUAGCUUGCUGGAUAAGGAUCCUGAGUACCACGGGACUCGAGCAAUCUUGUGGGAAUCCGGGACGACCACGUUCCAAGGCUAAAUACUCGCUGAUGACCGAUAGCGCACCAGUACCGUGAGGGAAAGGUGAAAAGAACCCCGGUGAGGGGAGUGAAAUAGAACCUGAAACCGUACACCUACAAGCAACGAGAGGGCUAUGCCCGCAAGGGAAUGCCUGAUCGUGUGCCUUUUGCUUAAUGAGCCUGCGAGUUAUCCUGCGUAGCAAGGUUAAGGCGAAAAGCCGGAGCCGUAGCGAAAGCGAGUCCGAAUUGGGCAUUUAGUUGCGUAGGAUAGACCCGAAGCGAAGUGAUCUACCCAUGGCCAAGGUGAAUCCGCCGUAACAGGCGGAGGAGGCCUGAACUGCUGUUUGUUGCAAAAAGCUCGGAUGAGCUGUGGGUAGGGGUGAAAGGCUAAACAAACUUCGUAAUUGCUGGUUCUCCCCGAAAUGUCUAGAGGGACAGCCUCGUGUCAGCCGUAACGGAGGUAGAGCACUGGAUGGGCUAGGGGCGUUCCAACGCUACUGAACCCAACCAAACUCCGAAUGCCGUUACUGGACGCACGGGAGUGAGACUACGGGUGCUAAGAUCCGUGGUCAAAAGGGAAAUAGCCCAGACCGUCAGCUAAGGUCCCUAAGUACAAGCUAAGUGGGAAAGGUUGUAACGUCGCUCAGACAGCCAGGAGGUUGGCUUAGAAGCAGCCAUCCUUUAAAGAGUGCGUAAUAGCUCACUGGUCGAGCGAUGUUGCGCCGAAAAUAUAACGGGGCUCAAGUUUGUCACCGAAGCUGCGGACGUUCACCGUAAGGUGAACUGUGGUAGGGGAGCAUUCUCUCAGCUGUGAAGGUUGACCGACAAGGACAGCUGGAGCGGAGAGAAGAGAUUAUGCAGGCAUAAGUAGCGAUAAAUGAUGUGAGAAUCAUCAUCCCCGUAAACCUAAGGUUUCCUGGCCUAUGUUCGUCAGGUCAGGGUUAGUCGGAUCCUAAGCCGAGGUCGAUAGACGUAGGCGAUGGAAAACAGGUCAAUAUUCCUGUACCACUGUGAUGGCGUUAUCAGCGAAGGGGGGACGCAGAAGGGUAGGCACCGCCGGGUCCCUGGAAUACCCGGUCCAAGCUGGUAGGCGGGUCUCGUAGGCAAAUCCGCGAGGCCGUUACCGCCGAGAAGUGAUGGGGAGGCCGCAAGGCCAUAAACGGGCUGAUCCCAUGCUGCCGAGAAAAGCCUCGUAGCGAGUCGUCAUAGUGUCCGUACCGCAAACCGACACAGGUAGGUGGGUAGAAUAUACCAAGGGGCGUGAGAGAACACUCCCUAAGGAACUUUGCAAUUUAGCCCCGUAACUUCGGGAGAAGGGGUGCCACGCGUAGGUGAGGGUGUACAAUCCGAGCCGAUCGUGGUUGCAAUAAAGUGGCUCUAGCGACUGUUUACCAAAAACACAGGACUCUGCGAACACGGAAGUGGACGUAUAGGGUCUGACGCCUGCCCGGUGCUGGAAGGUUAACCGGAGGAGUUAGCCGCAAGGCAAAGCUUUGAAGGGAAGCCCCAGUAAACGGCGGCCGUAACUAUAGAACGGACCACUGUAGUUCCGUAACAAAUCUGGCUAAAUGCUGGAACACCCGGUGUAUCCUCCGAUACUCGCCAUGAAAUCGAUGGCAGUGACAAUUCGCGAGGUGCGGGCAAUCAGCAGGAAAGACUCAGAUGAUGCUCAACGUAAACGAGAUUCCAUCGGAGAUCGGUCAUUACUUGGCGGGUUUUACUGAUGGGGAAGGAAGUUUCAAUGUGUCGUUCCGUCCUCGGAACGAUUACAAGCUUCCUUGGAAAGUCUCCCUCUGUUUCAACAUCUCCCAACGAGACGAAGUCAUCCUAGCGCUUUUCAAACGGCACCUGGGGUGCGGGACGAUGCGACAGAGACAAGAUGGCGUCUGGUACUACGAAGUAAACAACUUCACCGCCAUCGUCGAGAACGUGAUCCCGUUCUUUGAGCGCUUCGGGUUUCUUUCCGCAAAGAAGAAGCGUGACUUUUCAAAAUUCAAACAGCUGGCCGACAUGAUGCGACAAGGGCACCACCUGACGCAGAAGGGAAUCGAAGAGAUUCUGAAAGUUCGGCUGAUGAUGAAUGAUGGAGGAAAGCGACGCUACCUCGAUGCGGACAUCCUGAAACAAUUUGAGAAUCCUCAGAGACUAUAUGCCGGACCUGCCGAAACACUGCAGGAUGAGAUAGUCCGAACUGUAGGGCAACCUACAGAGCUUGGCAGAAAUGACCAAGCCCUCACAGAUUCAAAUCUGUAAGAGCAACAACAUUGAACGGUCCUAAGGUAGCGAAAUUCCUUGUCGGGUAAGUAACAUUGCCCGUGGCGGGAGCAAUCCCGUUCAAGCAACCGGCUCAAAUCGGUGGAGCCCACACGGCGCCUUGCAGGGGCGCUGCGGGUAAUACCGAGGGUAAGAUCGUCGCAGGACGAUCCCCGUAACGACUCAGGGGUUGAGAUCCCUGGAUGGAAUUGUCCCAAUUCCAUAACACGCCGGCCCUGAAGAUUAAUCGAAGCGAUCACUCAAAUCGUGGGUUUCAGGUGAACGUAUAGUCUGUGCCGCAGGAAACUGCGGAAGUACAUGAAGUUCCGACCUGCAUGAAUGGCGUAACGACUGGAGCGCUGUCUCGGGGAGUGACUCAGCGAAUUUGUUGUUCCGGUGAAGAAGCCGGGUGCCCGCAACUAGACGGAAAGACCCUGUGCACCUUUACUACAACUUGACAUUGGAUGUUGGAAAGAGCUGUGUAGGAUAGGUGGGAGCCUGUGAAGCUUGGCCGCUAGGUCGAGUGGAGGCGACGUUGAAAUACCACCCUGAUCGUUCUGAUAUUCUAACUCGGCCCUGUGAUCCAGGGCGAAGACAGUGUCUGGUGGGUAGUUUGACUGGGGCGGUCGCCUCCCAAAAGGUAACGGAGGCGCCCAAAGGUUCCCUCAGGCUGGUCGGUAAUCAGCCGUCGAGUGUAAAGGCAGAAGGGAGCUUGACUGCGAGAGCGACAGCUCGAGCAGGGACGAAAGUCGGGCUUAGUGAUCCGGUGGUUCUGUGUGGAAGGGCCAUCGCUCAACGGAUAAAAGGUACGCCGGGGAUAACAGGCUGAUCUCCCCCAAGAGUUCACAUCGACGGGGAGGUUUGGCACCUCGAUGUCGACUCAUCGCAUCCUGGGGCUGAAGCUGGUCCCAAGGGUUAGGCUGUUCGCCUAUUAAAGCGGUACGAGAGUUGGGUUCAGAACGUCGUGAGACAGUUCGGUCCCUAUCUGUUGUGGGCGGAGGAGAGUUGAGAGGGGCUUUCACUAGUACGAGAGGACUGUGAAGGACGGACCGCUAGUGUGCCGGUUGUCGUGCCAACGGCAGUGCCGGGUAGCUAUGUCCGGUGUCGAUAAUCGCUGAAAGCAUCUAAGCGAGAAGCGUGCCUCAAGAUAAGCUCUCCCGGGGCGUAUGCCCCCUAAAGACCACUCGUAGACCACGAGUUUGAUAGGCUGGGUGUGGAAGGUCCGUAAGGGCCGUAGCUAACCAGUACUAAUCGGUCGUGCGGUUUAAC
rnacentral:rRNA from 1 species